AGUGAAGUGGGCAAAGAGACACCCUCUUGGUGGUGGUGGUCUUAUACCAGUCAGGGGCAGAGCAGACAGCAGGCCUUUGUUCAUCCUAGCUUGAUGCCUGGCUUGGUGGCCAAAGCUGUCUUAUGCCUAGGACUCAUAA